UACGUAGGGUGCGAGCGUUAAUCGGAAUUACUGGGCGUAAAAGUGUGCGCAGGCGGCCGCGCAAGUCGAGUGUGAAAGCCCCGGGCUUAACUUGGGAAUUGCGCUCGAAACUACGUGGCUGGAGUGUGGCAGAGGAAGGUGGAAUUCCACGUGUAGCGGUGAAAUGCGUAGAGAUGUGGAGGAACACCAAUGGCGAAGGCAGCCUUCUGGGCCAACACUGACGCUCAUGCACGAAAGCGUGGGGAGCAAACAGG
rnacentral:rRNA from 1 species